AGAAGAGUAAUCUUUUUUGCAAGGUGAAGUCGUAACAAGGUUUCCGUAGGUGAAC
rnacentral:rRNA from 14 species